GUAGGGAAUAUUGGGCAAUGGAGGCAACUCUGACCCAGCCAUGCCGCGUGCAGGAUGACGGCCCUCUGGGUUGUAAACUGCUUUUAUACGGGAAGAAAAAAUACUACGUGUAGUAUACUGACGGUACCGUAAGAAUAAGGAUCGGCUAACUCCGUGCCAGCAGCCGCGGUCAUACGUAGUAUCCAAGCGUUGUCCGGAUUUAUUGGGUUUAAACGGUGCGUAGGCGGAUCGUUAAGUCAGUGGUGAAAGCCUGCAGCUUAACUGUAGAAUUGCCAUUGAAACUGAAGAUCUUGAAUGUGGUUAAAGUAGGCGGAAUGUAUCAUGUAGAGGUGAAAUGCUUAGAUAUGAUACAGAACACCGAUAGCGAAGGCAGCUUGCUGAACCAUUAUUGACGCUGAGGCACGAAAGCGUGGGGAGCGAACAGGAUUAGAUACCCCUGUAGUCC
rnacentral:rRNA from 1 species